GAUGAACGCUGGCGGCGUGCCUAAUACAUGCAAGUCGAGCGAACAGACGAGGAGCUUGCUCCUCUUACGUUAGCGGCGGACGGGUGAGUAACACGUGGAUAACCUACCUAUAAGACUGGGAUAACUUCGGGAAACCGGAGCUAAUACCGGAUAAUAUAUUGAACCGCAUGGUUCAAUAGUGAAAGACGGUUUUGCUGUCACUUAUAGAUGGAUCCGCGCCGCAUUAGCUAGUUGGUAAGGUAACGGCUUACCAAGGCAACGAUGAGUAGCCGACCUGAGAGGGUGAUCGGCCACACUGGAACUGAGACACGGUCCAGACUCCUACGGGAGGCAGCAGUAGGGAAUCUUCCGCAAUGGGCGAAAGCCUGACGGAGCAACGCCGCGUGAGUGAUGAAGGUCUUCGGAUCGUAAAGCUCUGUUAUUAGGGAAGAACAAAUGUGUAAGUAACUAUGCACGUCUUGACGGUACCUAAUCAGAAAGCCACGGCUAACUACGUG
rnacentral:rRNA from 1 species